rnacentral:tRNA from 1 species
AGACGGUUAGUCCAAUGAAAGAUAGCUGAUUUCGGCUUAGCAGAAUGUGGUUCAACUCCAUGACCGUCUU